CAUGCACGCUGACCUAGGAGAUAAUUAACAGGAACAGAAAACAGCGUGAUCAAAAGCCCCUGGUUCCUCUCUGCUGCAUUGUAUCAUCCCUUCUGGGUGUCACAGAAUGCAGUAUUAUCAACCAGUAUUAAGUAUAAAGCCUUUCAUUUAUCUCAUCGGAUGUCCGAAGCCCAGCAGCACCACUCCAGAGAGGCGACCCCUGUGGUGAUCGGGGACUCCACAGACCCCGGUCCCGGUCCCAACCCGCCAGCCGGAGCCGGCCCGUGUUUCAGCACACGGACACUCGAGCUGGAGCACAGAGCGGAACAGAGAUCAUCGCCAGCAUGA